UGUAGAAUUCACUGUCAACACUGCUUUAGAUGAGUGUAAGUCAUGUAAACAAACAAAUCUACAUACAGUAACUAAACACUAGUUAUCUAUUUUAUUUGUCCAUUUGCAAUAUUGAUAAUUUUAGGAACAUUUGUGUUGGAUAAAAAGCGAGUUACAUCAGUUACUAACUCAACAUGCAGAUGCAGUAUAUCACAGAUAAAUCACAGAGGUUACUUGACUCUUGUCUGGAUGUUACAGGAACAGAUUAUGUUUGUCUGCUGUAGAGUGACUGAAGAAGGAAUGCUGCCAUCAAAGGAUUUGUGUUAUGAAAAUGUCUGCAGACUGGUGUGUGCACUGAGGAUGGAGAAGUCCACUGCAGCAUCCGGAAAUGGUCCAGAGACACGGAUGAGACGCUCCAUCACUCCAGCUCUUACUGUCUCAUCAGGACCAGAUGCUGCUGUGGUCUCUUCAUCCUCAGUGACCCCAGAGCAGCGAGAGCAUCUAGAGAAAGACCAAAAGACACUGAGGAUUUGAUUUUGGUUGUGUGGUUCAGAGAGCCGUCAUCAAGGUCUUCCUCAUCCUGUUGCUCAACGACAUCCCCGUUGAGAAGAGUGAGAUUGUGAAGCACAGCGCAGCAGAACUGUCUCAGCUGUGUUGAGAUGAUAG
ensembl:lncRNA